CAGCUUUGUGGUUUGAAUUCCUUUCUUCUCAGAAGUUGAAACAUUAAUGGAGCGUGCGAAAGCAUCUGGAAGGAGCUAGAGAUGGGUCUCUAAAGGAAGUGUUAUUACAAUUGUCUCCAUAACCUCCUCCACCAGACAACAGAUAUUCAUAUGAUUAUAGCUAGUACGUUUAUCAUCCUAGGUCUUGAUAUUUAUGCGAAAAAAAUUGAAUAGGCAGUAUUUGCCACCAACCAAUACCAUAAUUAAGUGCAUGGGCUAGGACAAGUAGUGUGUGUGUGUGUGUAACCAUUAACAUGGUUUAGGACAAGUAACACACACACUAAUAUGUAUGUAUAUAGUGAUAAAAGAGAUUAUUCCUUGUUGAUUGAAUUUAUGAUUUUAAUUAGGUUGAGAAAAUUGAUAGAGUUUUAAAAUGUAAAUGAAAUAAAUUAAUUAAAACAAGCCGUAUGCUUAAAUUAUAAUUAUAAUUAGAUGAAACUUUUAUCUAAAAAUUAUAAUAGGGCCUAAAAUUAUUUAUUCCAUUUACAUUUAGCCUCCUCUCAAUUGAAUUCAUAAAACCUUAUUUUAAGAUGCAGUUCUAGAUCUAAUGUAAUUAUAUACAAGUAGAGUCAAGAAAGUAGGCUCGGUUUGACAGGCUAGUCCAUAUAGUUGCCAACAAAAUGAGCCCUUUAAUUUUUUUGUUAACCCAGCCUACAAAAAUGAUGAGCUGUGCGAGCCGACAUUUUCAAAGGACAAAUUUUAAAAAAACAAUGAAUGCAAUGAUUUGCCUAAACUCACGUAGUUUUGGUUUUUGAACAGAAUUGUUUUAUAGUUGAAUUUAGGGUGUUUAGUCACUCUUCAAGUAAAGUUGAGAAGUAAAAAUAAUAUUUAAUUUAAAAAAUUAAGAAUUUGACACGGCUUGUAUUAGAUUAAAAUUAUCACAAGUAUUUGUCAGCAUAUUGAAGACCGUGCAGCCGAUAUUCAAAGUUCGUCAAAUAUUUAAUAAACUGAGAGACAGAAUGCAGAUCUCAGAUGCCGGAGAACUAAACCAAACAAAUGACCAGGGCUGUUGUCAUAUAUAAAUAAAACAAACAAGCCAACACUCUUGCUUACAUUUCAUUACGCAAUGGAUUCGUAUUGAGAUUACAAAAAAGGUCAGGUUCUCCAUCGUCUCGAUCUCUUUGAAUCUAUGCACAAGCAGUCACGCCUAAUAUAAUAAGACAGACGAUCCCGCUGAGGACAGGGAUUGGUUUGAGGUGAAAGGGCAAGACGGAAGCCAGACAAGUAAAACACGCGCAGAUCAUAAAUGCUGCUCCUAAUAACCGAACCACACGCCAACAAUCAUCAUCAUCAUCAGCUGCUGGCAGUGAAUUCUGCGAAGAAGAACAUGAUGAUGAUGCGCCUGCAACAUCUUCUUCAGAAGAAAAGAGUUCUGAGGACCCAGGCGACGAUGAUGAAGACUCAUGACGAUUAGGAACACUAUUGCCAUGGCGAGAAAAGACGACUCCAAAAAACAAAGUCGAAAUCAUACGUAUGAUGAGCACCCAGGGAUGCAUCGUACUGUUCCCUGGAGCGACAAGAGGUAACGAGCGUGAAGAGAGACAAUUGGAGAUUAGGGCUACAGUAGAAUUAGGCUAGAAGAGCGGUUGCUUGGAUACUAGUUGUUUAUGCGUAUAGACGUCUCAACACGCUAAUUUAAUUUAAUAUUUACCUUAAUCCCAGUCGCUCGUCUAACUUGUUAUAUGAACCAAAACAGUAUAUCUAAAACUCUAUCAUCAACGUGGGAUUCGCCUAGUUA